rnacentral:tRNA from 1 species
GCCGAUAUAGUUCAGCCGGUAGAACGCAUCCAUGGUAAGGAUGAAACACGGGUUCAAAUCCCGUUGUUGGCU